CGUGAGGGAAAGGCGAAAAGAACCCCGGCGAGGGGAGUGAAAAAGAACCUGAAACCGUGUACGUACAAGCAGUGGGAGCACGCUUAGGCGUGUGACUGCGUACCUUUUGUAUAAUGGGUCAGCGACUUAUAUUCUGUAGCAAGGUUAACCGAAUAGGGGAGCCGAAGGGAAACCGAGUCUUAACUGGGCGUUAAGUUGCAGGGUAUAGACCCGAAACCCGGUGAUCUAGCCAUGGGCAGGUUGAAGGUUGGGUAACACUAACUGGAGGACCGAACCGACUAAUGUUGAAAAAUUAGCGGAUGACUUGUGGCUGGGGGUGAAAGGCCAAUCAAACCGGGAGAUAGCUGGUUCUCCCCGAAAGCUAUUUAGGUAGCGCCUCGUGAAUUCAUCUCCGGGGGUAGAGCACUGUUUCGGCAAGGGGGUCAUCCCGACUUACCAACCCGAUGCAAACUGCGAAUACCGGAGAAUGUUAUCACGGGAGACACACGGCGGGUGCUAACGUCCGUCGUGAAGAGGGAAACAACCCAGACCGCCAGCUAAGGUCCCAAAGUCAUGGUUAAGUGGGAAACGAUGUGGGAAGGCCCAGACAGCCAGGAUGUUGGCUUAGAAGCAGCCAUCAUUUAAAGAAAGCGUAAUAGCUCACUGGUCGAGUCGGCCUGCGCGGAAGAUGUAACGGGGCUAAACCAUG
rnacentral:rRNA from 1 species